GCCACUAGCUCAUCAGGAAAGAGCGUCAACCCUUUAAGUUGAGAGUGCGAGGUUCGAUUCCGGUAGUCGGCACCA
rnacentral:tRNA from 1 species